CUCCCUUCAGUCUCUGCAGAGCUCCGGGUUGAGAGCAGGACUGUGUUCCUUUCGGGUUGGCGGAUCGUUGUGGGCCGGCAACGCAUAUAGUGCGCGAGGUAGUGACGUGAUAGUGUCGCGGACGGCCGAGAUUGCCACUUUUGCCUUUUUUCUUUUUGUCUCUUUUGCUUGCCUUUUUGUCUUGAGUUACAGACUCUACUCUGUAACAGUGUGAUUUGAAGACUCUGCUCAGUAACCGUGUGAUUUAAAGACUGCUCAGUAACAGUGUGAUUUAAAGACUCUGCUCAGUAACCGUGUGAUUUUAAAGACUCUACUCAGUAACAGUGUUAAAGUAUCCCCGUCCAGGCUGUGGCUGUAGCUACAGUUUGUGUCAGGCUUUUUCAUGUCCUUUACAUAGUCUAAUUUAUUAACUAGAUGUGUGUGUUAUUGUAGUGAGUGUGCCGUGUUUAUAGGCCUGAUACAGAUAACCUGGCUGCAGUUAGCGGUGUCCCAACACUGAUUUCUGGUAUCUGUUCAUGGUUGAAGUAGUAAUUGUGUUUUAAAACUAUUUUGUCUACCAAUUUAAAAUAAAGAUUGUGUAUAUUUUUCUAAA